UUAUUUUUUAAUAAUUAAUUUUUAUAUAAUUUUUAUAUAGUUAAUAUUUUAGUUAUUUAUAGGAAUAAAUAUUAUAAUAUAAUAAUAUUUUAAUAAUGAUAAAAUAAGUAUUUUAUAUAUAUAAAAUAUAGUAACUCGGCAAAUAUUAUUUUCGCCUGUUUAACAAAAACAUGGUCUUUUGUUUAUAUAAAAGAUCUAACCUGCCCUAUGAUUUAUUUAAAUGGCUGCAGUAUUUUGACUGUACAAAGGUAGCAUAACCAUUUGUCUUUUAAUUGAAGGCUUGUAUGAAUGGUUGGAUGAAAAAUAUACUUUCUUUAUUUUAUAUAAAAAAUUUAAUUUUCUAGUCAAAAAGCUAGGAUUUUUUUAUAGGACGAGAAGACCCUAUAGAACUUUAUUUUCUUUUUUUAUAAACUUUAUAGAUAAAUAUAAGUUUAUAUAUUUUUGUUAAUUUUGUUGGGGUGAUUGAAAAAAUUUUUUAACUUUUUCUAUUUUUUACAUUUAUAUAUGUUUUUUUGAUCCUUUAUUAUGGAAUAAAAGAUUAAGUUACCUUAGGGAUAACAGCGUUAUUUUUUUGGAGAGUUCUUAUCGAUAAAAAAGUUUGCGACCUCGAUGUUGG
rnacentral:rRNA from 1 species